AAAUUCAAAUUUUGAUGUAUCUUUACCCAGGCAACCAAGUGACGUCAACAACGUCGAGGAAACGUCAGUAUUUGGUGGAAUAUAUACACGUGGUUGAACAUUACGUCAUAUCGACGUCUUUUGUAGGUGAUUUUAAAUACGUAAGAUUAAUGACGUUAAAAUACGUUUAAAAGACGUUUUCAUUUCAGCCAGCCUAAGUCUGACGUCACGAAAUUGGGAGGAGCUUGGAGCUUAAAAGUUACAAAACUAAGGUUAUGUUUUAUGUUUGUAUCGUCGUCGUCGUUGUCGUUUGUUUGUCCUAGUAUUUUAUCCUAUUUUGGAUUCAUUUGGAUUUUGUUGGCCGUUUUGUGUGUAUUUUUUAACUUUUGUUUGUCAUUUGUAAAUUUUAUAAAUUUACCACAAUGCAAAGUGACUAUUUAAGGAAAUUAUUAUGGGAAACUCCGCAGAUGUUUUAGAAAGAUAUUCAUUGAAGCUGAAAAUAAUUGGAGAUAUAGAUCCAUAUACAUGCAAUUCAGUCAUCAGAAUUGGAUUUUACAGUGCAUUUCAUCAAUUACUGUUAUAAUGCUAUUAUAGAUAGACUGGUAGAGUCUCACAGUUACUACUUUAAGCAGCAGAUGAAAGCAUACAAAAGCCUUCAGACACAUAAAAGCCUUCACAACUGGAUUUGUUUUGAAACAUUUGAUGUUUUGAUGAUUUCUAUAUUAUUGUUGGAAAGGUGAAGAAUUCCCAAAAAGCUAAUGCUAAACCACUAGAUGCUUGGGUGAUAGCCAGUUUCAAUGGCAUAGCAAAUGCACAUUGUAUGUGUAUUGCCGGUAAUAGUGAAGUUUGCAGCCAUAUUGCAGCAAUCUUAUUUGCAGCUGAGUAUGCCCACAGCAAGACAGAAGAAGAAGAACCCAGUGCAUGUACAGAUAUUACAGCUAUGUAUAUUCUCUGGUGAAAAACUAAUGAGUUUUCAAGCUGUUCGGUCAGAGUGCUUGUUGCGCUCUCUAAACGAACUGAAAUAUAAGACGGCUUUGGCUUCAUGUUGCAGCGAUAUGAAAAUGGUUAGUCAUUUUUAAUUAUAAUGUACUUCUUCAUCAUGAGUAUUUAUGUAUAGGGCUUUUCAUUCACAGUCAUUUGUUUCGAGCUUCUGUCAUGUGUCACAUAAUAUUAAUAUAUCUAUGCCAUACGUUAUUGGUAUACACCAAUGAUACACACCAAAGUCCACA